rnacentral:rRNA from 1 species
GUCCACGCCGUAAACGGUGGGUGCUAGGUGUAGGCGGUAUUCCACGCCGUCUGUGCCGCAGCUAACGCAUUAAGCACCCCGCCUGGGGAGUACGGCCGCAAGGCUAAAACUCAAAGGAAUUGACGGGGGCCCGCACAAGCAGCGGAGCAUGUGGCUUAAUUCGACGCAACGCGAAGAACCUUACCAAGGCUUGACAUACACCGAAAACUCGUAGAGAUACGGGGUCCGCAAGGGCGGUGUACAGGUGGUGCAUGGUUGUCGU